GGGGCUGUCUAGUUUCGACAGUUUGAACUUUAAAAACUAAGCAAGUCGACUCAAGUAAUAACAGUCGUAAAACUUGGUUACACGAUUAUAAGUGCAAACUUUGUAUCAAAAGCAAAGACCGCAAUUGCUAACGCUUUUGCACCGUCUUUCGCUCCUGCUAUCGCCUAAAUACGCUUUAGCCAUCGAACUGCCUACUUCCGGUAAGCAGACCUCGGUGCCAACCACCGGAAUAGCCUUUUGUGUUUCUUCCGCAUAAUCGGCGAAAAUAAUCGGGAGAUCGACUGAUAAAGUUUGUUUGUCUUAUAUUUAUCAGUCUAAAAUUCCAUAUUUGCAUAUGGAGAAAAGUCAAACUAAACUUGUAGAAGGGUUUUUCUAGCCAACUCUGGACAUGGGUUCAAUUCCCAUCAGCUCCACCG
rnacentral:tmRNA from 1 species